rnacentral:misc_RNA from 1 species
AACUUGUUGAAAUCACUAGACUUGGAAAUUUUUGGUUGUGAAAAGCUGGUUGAGGUUCAAGGUUUAUUCAAAUUAGAACCACUAGGAAUCAACACAGAAAUACUCAAUAAUGUGGGAUUGUUCGAUUUGGAAUCUUUGAAAGGAAUUGAAGUGGAAAUGUCGAAUGCUCUGGCAUGCACAGAAAUGAAGACAAGUAUUCAGGUGCUGCAUGAAUGUGGAAUAUUCAGCAUAUUUCUUCCAGGAAGUAGAGUUCCAGAGUGUUUUAGACCAAAAACUGAGAGUCCUUCAAUAUCUUUUGACAUCCAACCAGUUCCUGGUCACAAGAUCAAAGGUCUGAGUUUAUGCAUUCUGUAUGUGAAUCUUGGAGAUGGUGGGCAUAUAGAUGACAAUUGCGCUAAAAUCAACAAUAAAACUAAGGGUGUAAAGUGGACAUAUAGCCCAACGUUCUAUGGGAUUCCAGAAGUGCCCCAAGAUAUGUUAUGGUUAAGCCACUGGACGUUUGGCGAUCAGCUGGAAGCGGGGGAUGGAUGAAGUGCACGUUAUAGCGGAGAUGGCAUCAGGUUUACACGUAAAGGAGUGUGGGAUCCGCCUCAUAUACGAGAAAGAAAACAAGGAUGCCCCUGAAAUUGUCCAAAGCAGCAGUUCUCAGUACCCAACGAUGGGAGAUGCAGAUAUGUCAGCAUAUGAGUUGGGAACAGCUUCAUAUUUUCUUUGCCAUCACAAAUUUCAAACGCAUCAAGGAUCAGGAAGAUAUGACUGGGAUAAUUUGAGUGGCUAUGAGUACAUAUUCGAGGAGAGAAGGGAAGACCCUGAAACUGAUGAGAAUGAGGAGAAAAUGUUGGACACCGAAACUGAAAGUGGAACUGAAACUGAAAUUUGGACUUAGCCUCAAUGUCCUCGUUCAAUGAUGCUUGUAUUUCUGCACAAAAUAGAAAACCAUUGUAGUGACUCGAUGGACUGUUACUAAGUCAUCUUUAUAAUCUUAGGUU